rnacentral:hammerhead_ribozyme from 1 species
GCACUAAUGAAGAGUCCCACGAUAGGACGAAACGGCCGUCCAGUGC